rnacentral:rRNA from 1 species
GCUAAUACCGCGUACGCCCUACGGGGGAAAGGAGGGGACCUUCGGGCCUUCCACGAUUGGAUAAGCCUAAGUGAGAUUAGCUAGUUGGUGAGGUAAUGGCUCACCAAGGCGACGAUCUCUAGCUGGUCUGAGAGGAUGAUCAGCCACACUGGAACUGAGACACGGUCCAGACUCCUACGGGAGGCAGCAGUGGGGAAUAUUGCACAAUGGGCGAAAGCCUGAUGCAGCCAUGCCGCGUGUAUGAAGAAGGCCUUCGGGUUGUAAAGUACUUUCAGCAGUGAGGAAGGGUGUGUAGUUAAUAACUGCACAUCUUGACGUUAGCUGCAGAAGAAGCACCGGCUAACUCCGUGCCAGCAGCCGCGGUAAUACGGAGGGUGCGAGCGUUAAUCGGAAUUACUGGGCGUAAAGCGCAUGCAGGUGGUUUGUUAAGUCAGAUGUGAAAGCCCGGGGCUCAACCUCGGAAUAGCAUUUGAAACUGGCAUACUAGAGUACUGUAGAGGGGGGUAGAAUUUCAGGUGUAGCGGUGAAAUGCGUAGAGAUCUGAAGGAAUACCAGUGGCGAAGGCGGCCCCCUGGA